rnacentral:rRNA from 1 species
GAUGAACGCUGGCGGCGUGCUUAACACAUGCAAGUCGAACGAAGCACUUUAUUUGAUUUCCUUCGGGACUGAUUAUUUUGUGACUGAGUGGCGGACGGGUGAGUAACGCGUGGGUAACCUGCCUUGUACAGGGGGAUAACAGUUGGAAACGGCUGCUAAUACCGCAUAAGCGCACAGCAUCGCAUGAUGCAGUGUGAAAAACUCCGGUGGUAUAAGAUGGACCCGCGUUGGAUUAGCUAGUUGGUGAGGUAACGGCCCACCAAGGCGACGAUCCAUAGCCGACCUGAGAGUGUGACCGGCCCCAUUGGGACUGAGACACGGCCCAAACUCCUACGGGAGGCAGCAGUGGGGAAUAUUGCACAAUGGGCGAAAGCCUGAUGCAGCGACGCCGCGUGAGCGAAGAAGUAUUUCGGUAUGUAAAGCUCUAUCAGCAGGGAAGAUAAUGACGGUACCUGACUAAGAAGCACCGGCUAAAUACGU